rnacentral:rRNA from 1 species
GGAGCCGUAGCGAAAGCGAGUUUUAACUGAGCGUUCAGUUACUUGACGUAGACCCGAAACCGGGCGACCUACCCAUGAGCAGGAUGAAGCGAAAGUAAAAUUUCGUGGAGGUCCGAACCCACGAGCGUUGAAAAGCUCGGGGAUGACUUGUGGGUAGCGGUGAAAUUCCAAUCGAGCCCGGAGAUAGCUGGUUCUCCCCGAAAUAGCUUUAGGGCUAGCCUCAAGGUGAGAGAUACGGAGGUAGAGCACUGAAUGUCCUAGGGGGUAUUGCACCUACCGAAGACUAUCAAACUCCGAAUGCCGUCAUCUUAUACUUGGGAGUCAGACUGUGGGUGAUAAGAUUCAUAGUCGAAAGGGCAACAGCCCAGAUCGUCAGCUAAGGUCCCUAAAUGUAAGUUAAGUGGUAAAGGAUGUGGGAUUGCACAGACAACCAGGAUGUUGGCUUAGAAGCAGCCACUCAUUCAAAGAGUGCGUAAUAGCUCACUGGUCGAGUGAUCCUGCGCCGAAGAUUUCCGGGGCUAAAACUUACUACCGAAGCUACGGCAUCAGUAAUGAUGGGUAGGGGAGCUUCCCAUACGGGUUGAAGCAUGACCGUAAGGACAUGUGGACAGUAUGGGAGUGAGAAUGUUGGCAUGAGUAGCGAGAUGUGGGUGAGAAUCCCACAGGCCGUAAACCCAAGGU